rnacentral:rRNA from 1 species
UGCAAGUCGAGCGGACAGAAGGGAGCUUGCUCCCGGAUGUUAGCGGCGGACGGGUGAGUAACACGUGGGUAACCUGCCUGUAAGACUGGGAUAACUCCGGGAAACCGGAGCUAAUACCGGAUAGUUCCUUGAACCGCAUGGUUCAAGGAUGAAAGACGGUUUCGGCUGUCACUUACAGAUGGACCCGCGGCGCAUUAGCUAGUUGGUGGGGUAAUGGCUCACCAAGGCGACGAUGCGUAGCCGACCUGAGAGGGUGAUCGGCCACACUGGGACUGAGACACGGCCCAGACUCCUACGGGAGGCAGCAGUAGGGAAUCUUCCGCAAUGGACGAAAGUCUGACGGAGCAACGCCGCGUGAGUGAUGAAGGUUUUCGGAUCGUAAAGCUCUGUUGUUAGGGAAGAACAAGUGCGAGAGUAACUGCUCGCACCUUGACGGUACCUAACCAGAAAGCCACGGCUAACUACGUGCCAGCAGCCGCGGUAAUACGUAGGUGGCAAGCGUUGUCCGGAAUUAUUGGGCGUAAAGGGCUCGCAGGCGGUUUCUUAAGUCUGAUGUGAAAGCCCCCGGCUCAACCGGGGAGGGUCAUUGGAAACUGGGAAACUUGAGUGCAGAAGAGGAGAGUGGAAUUCCACGUGUAGCGGUGAAAUGCGUAGAGAUGUGGAGGAACACCAGUGGCGAAGGCGACUCUCUGGUCUGUAACUGGCGCUGAGGAGCGAAAGCGUGGGGAGCGAACAGGAUUAGAUACCCUGGUAGUCCACGCCGUAAACGAUGAGUGCUAAGUGUUAGGGGUUUCCGCCCCUUAGUGCUGCAGCUAACGCAUUAAGCACUCCGCCUGGGGGAGUACGGUCGCAAGACUGAAACUCAAAGGAAUUGACGGGGGCCCGCACAAGCGGUGGAGCAUGUGGUUUAAUUCGAAGCAACGCGAAGAACCUUACCAGGUCUUGACAUCCUCUGACAACCCUAGAGAUAGGGCUUUCCCUUCGGGGACAGAGUGACAGGUGGUGCAUGGUUGUCGUCAGCUCGUGUCGUGAGAUGUUGGGUUAAGUCCCGCAACGAGCGCAACCCUUGAUCUUAGUUGCCAGCAUUCAGUUGGGCACUCUAAGGUGACUGCCGGUGACAAACCGGAGGAAGGUGGGGAUGACGUCAAAUCAUCAUGCCCCUUAUGACCUGGGCUACACACGUGCUACAAUGGACAGAACAAAGGGCUGCAAGACCGCAAGGUUUAGCCAAUCCCAUAAAUCUGUUCUCAGUUCGGAUCGCAGUCUGCAACUCGACUGCGUGAAGCUGGAAUCGCUAGUAAUCGCGGAUCAGCAUGCCGCGGUGAAUACGUUCCCGGGCCUUGUACACACCGCCCGUCACACCACGAGAGUUUGCAACACCCGAAGUCGGUGAGGUAACCU